rnacentral:lncRNA from 1 species
UUUUUUUUUUAACUGUAAGAUUAGUUUUCAAGAUAAAUUUGGUAGAUUUGAUGUCGUUCAACAACGAAUCACAACAGGCCACAAUGUAAUUAAUUAAGAGGAUGCAGGGGUUUCUCUAGAAAACAAAUAUGAAGGUUUGGUAAAAUAUGCAUCAAAAAUAUGAGUUUUGGUGUGAAUUUAUGAAUACAGAAGUGAUCACAAUAUAAACACUCAUGCCUCUUUCCAUUUUAAACAUCUCAUUUUUAAAUGGGGAUGAAUCUUUUUUUCUAGGAGGAAGUUCUCUUUCAGUGGAAGUUGAAAAUAAAUGGUCUGUGGACCAGUAUCUGUAGCUUGUGUUUUUGUUUGUCCUACAAAUGAUUUUCAUUGCCUACACAAUGUUGAAAAAAAAGUAUUGAUUUCUAUCUUUUUUUGGAAAACCAGAAGAUUUGGAAAAACUAGAUGCUAAUAUCAAAGUGACAACAACCAAACAAAGCAAGGUACAUUUCUUUUAGCUUGACACAUGUUCUGGCCCUUUGCAGUUCCCACCACUUGCAAAACACAUGCCCAUCUAUCUCUAGCCACCAUACACCCAUUCAUUUGUUUUAUCUACCCGGUGACUAUAGGCUUUUGAAUUUGAGACCACUGCUUUCAAGUACCCUAUAUCUCCACAAACCAGUUACCACCAACCACUGCUGUGCAAGUAGUGUUCCAACACAAUGACAAUAAUCCUAGGAAAGAAGAUGACCUUGAAUGUCUUAGAAACAAGGGAAAAGGGCAUGGUAUAUUUCAAAUUCGUAUAGAAUUAACCUACCCUCAUUUCUUUUGCUUGCUUAUUUGCAUUCAGUAUUUAUCAACUGAAUUGCUGGUGUGUGUUUUCCUUGAAUGAUGAAUUAAUAUUGUAAACAAACACCUUAAUUUUUUGUUAAAUGAUUAAUGAAGAAUUACAUUUACCUGAGAUCAAGAAAUGCUGCAUUCUGUCUACUACCAAGUAUCUAUGUGGCUCAGUGGUCUGGCAAUUAAACUGACAAUACCAUGAUAUAUACAGGAGCUAAAAGAAAAAACUUAAAGUAGGUAGGUACUUUCAAACCUAUAGGAAGGAUUCAUUCUUCAGGAAGGGAAUAGGAUGCAGAAAAUGUAAUAAAGAACCAGAAGUCAGAAGAGUCUAGAUUCAGUAUUUACUAUGUGAUCUUAGAUAAGACAUUCUUCUUGUAUGACAGUCAGUUUCUUCAUCUGUAAAAUACUUUUUGUUCACAGAGUUCUGUGAGGAAAAAAUUGUGCUCAUUAUAAUCUAAGACAUUGUGUGAACUAUAAAUCAAGGAAUAAUAUUGAUGGUAAUUGUCUUAAAAAUCCAACUGAUAAAGCAAGAAUCGUGGUUUCCUGCUGUUACCCAUUCACAUUUUCUAUUUCAAGGAUUUGACCAGGCCCUGAAAUAUUCAAUCAAUUCUACUUCAGCAUAUGCAACUAAGCAUGCAAUUGCAAAAAAUAAUUGAGCUCUUUAAGUCCAUCGAUAAUACUUAAUUCUAUGAAUAUUCAUGCAGAGAAUAAUGCAAUUUGCAUGGGCUGCCUAAUGUCAGGCGGUACAGAGGGAGAAGCUGAUUUUGAUUCGGAAACUAAAGCAAACCCAUCAUUAAACACCCUGGAUGAGAACUGACAAGGUGAAUUACUACACACUCUAAGCAAACUUUACAAGUAAGUUUAAUUAAACGAGUCUAUUCAUUUUAUGCAACCUCAUUUAGACGCCUUUAUUGAGGUAUGGUGUUUCUACUUAAAGACUUGGUAAGCCACUAUCUUUGACUCAAUUACUUAAGAAACUCAGACUUCUAUAAAGGGUCCUGUUUGUAUCCUGCAAAUUCUUUUCUGGCUGAAACUCAAAUGAGGAAGUUUUAACAGCACACGAUAAGCAAUAGUUUAAGUUUAAGGAUUUAAAAAGACUUAGUUCCUGGGUUUCUAAAAUCCUGGAUUACUUAAUGAAGCUAUGACAUUACUUGUGCCUCAACAGUUAAGGCUAUGAAAUGGUGAGACGGAGACUAAAGCUAGUUCUCCUUUUGUGAAGGCUGUCAGCAUUUAUUUAGUUAGUUAGUUUUUUGCCUUUUCUAGGGCCUCUUCCCACAGCAUAUGGAGCGGUCCAAGAAAUGGCAAAAAUACAAAAAAUAAAAAAAAAAAUUAAAAAAAAUAAAGAAAUCACACUUGAUGCCAAGUAUCAGCAAUCAUGAGAGCAGCCCAAAGUGGAAACAAGGCAAGUGUGGAUCAACUGAUGAAUGGAUAAAUGAAUAGGGCUUAUCUACAUAAUGGAAUAUUAUUUAUACAUAAUAAGGAAUGUAUACUGAUACAUUCUGUAACACGAGCAAAUUUUGAGAACAUGAGGCAAAGUGAAAUUAGCUGAUCAAAAAGACCAGGUAUUUCAUGAUUCCAUUGAUACAAUGUUCAGGACAGGCAAAUUUAUAGGGACAAGACACUGAUGGUUGCACAGGGCUGGCGCAACAGGGUUGGUGGCUCAUGGGACCUGAGAAUGGGAGUAAUUGCUGAGUUUCUUUGGGGAAUACAAACAAUGUUCUCAAACUGAUUGUGCUAAUGGUUUCACAACUCCUAGAAUACACCAGAACCAUAGGACAAUCAAAACACAUAUCCUUUAAAUGGGUGAAAGUAUGCUCUGUGAAUUAUGUCUCAAGAAUGCUGUUACUAAAAAUAAAAGUCACAGGAGAAACUUGGAGAAGCAUAAGCAAUCUCUCGAGGGCACCAAGAAGGGAAUGGAGAGAACCAGCACCCAUAGAGAGGGUGGGUCAAGAUUUCAAUGGUCAGUAGCACUGGCUUCCCUCUCACUGGAGAAGGUGAAGAAAAACAUAGUUUCCUGCAAGAGCAAUUGCAACAGACUUCCUAGGGAGUUGCUUGUGGGCUUUGCUGACAAAAGUGGUUCAAAGGGUUUCCUUCAAAAGUUUCUCUCUCUGGCAGGGGUGAUACCAGAGCUUUAUCAUUUUCAAGAGCUUGAACUCACCUCACUGGAGGCCCAAGUGAUAGUCAAUCAUACUAUUUCUCCUUAAGGAUAGGACUUUGUGAUCUUCCCAUAUGCUGAUGGAGAGUCAGUCAUUUUGGAUAAUCCUACCUCGCCAUCAUUAGUACUUUCCCUGGGAAACGCACCAGCACAUUCUCCCACUUCAGAAGCCUUUCAUCUCCCCUUCUGCCUCUCCAAAACUGUGAUGCCCUUUUCUCUGCCACCCCUCUCUUCCAUGCAUCUUCAAGUUCAAUGGCUUUCUCUUGGACUAGAGACAAGAGGAGAGGCAGAGAUGGCAUAUUUUGAGAUUUAAAUCGGUUUAAAAUUUAGGUCUCGCUUCCUUCAUGAAAGGUAAAUAAAGGAGGCAAAUAAUUUCACAAUUCUCCCUGAAACCAUUAUUUUUACAUAGAGGGAAACUGUUGGUGAGGGCAUUGCAUUUCACAUUUUAAUAUGUUCAGUUGCUUUUGCGCAUUUCCCUUGAAACAAAAAGAAAGAAAGGAAAAAAAAAACUCUUUCAAUGAUAAGAAAAUGACUUAAAAAAAUAGUAGCGGUAUCAUCCUAGAAACCACCUUAGCCAAGGAUGGGAGGAGGUCUGUGUUAGGUCUAGAUUAAUUUCAAAGUCACCACCAACUUUCUGGGUAAUUCCCUAGUGGAAGUUUGUACAUCUUUAUAAUGCCUUCAGAAUACUUUAUCACAUAGUAAAGAUUUUAAAAAAUCAUUAUCCUUUUGAUCUAAAAAUCCUUAUACUUCAACUUUAAUAUGAUCUUUCUGAAGAAGUUGCCACGUAUAUUUUACUCCUUGGAGAAAUCAAGAGCAGAGCACUCAAGGAAAGUUUGAGGAGCUUCCAGUUGCAUUUUUUUAAAAAAAAUAUAAAAGUUUAUUUUGUGUGUGUCUAUCUACCGUGAUGCAUUCAAAACAUAAAGACAAACUCUACGUUUCUCCCAAGAAGGGCGAUUCCGACCUAGAAAUGAAUAGUUUAAAGCUAGUUUCAUGCGUAGAAUUACUUCCUGUCCGUGGCAACUAUAUUAGCACAGCCUAAGUAAGCUAAGAACAACACUGAUUUAUGUUCAUGUCUUUAGGCUACUUCAAACUCUUCUUUAUUUUUACUACCAAAAAUCAAGGGUGGCAUUUCAGCUUAGAUCAUCAUCACGAAAAGCAUCUUUGUGAAAGAGUGGUGACAAAAUAUUGUAGUAUUUUUCUCUCAUUAUUACGGAUAUUUUCUUCUGAGGUAAUUUCGUUUAUUAACCAAAACAAAAACACAUCCUCCACAUAUCCACACGUGCAUGCACACACACACACACACAUCUAAACUGAUAAAUCUCCUUUGAGUAAAGGAACUAGAACCAUAACUAAAUCCAUUCUCCCUUGUCCCUUGUAAAGGGUUUACCUCAAAUCCACCAAAAGCUGCACAAUUUGGAGGUUUUAGACUUUCCUAUGUAUUAGCUUUAAGGAAAUAUUCCUUUUAUCAGGCUCUCAGAGGACUACAGAGAGAGACUAUAAUUAACUCAAAAGAUCUUAUUGAGCCCAAUCAUAUCACAUCAUUGCAUCACCUGGGUGCAGUCACCAAAGGGUGGGUUAGGCAGCAAAGCUGUGUGUCUCAGGGUUCGAUACUGCUGGCUCAGAAGACGGCUCUUUAGACCCUUCUUACUCUGUAAUCCAACUUUUCUUUGAAAAAAAUUACUUUCAAUUAGGAGAACAAAAGGCAUUAAAACUAGCAAUGGCUAUUUAGUGAAUGUUUAUUAUGUGCUGGGAACUGUGGCAUCCCUUUGGCUUACAGUGGUAUGGCUUUACGUUCACUGGAGAAUUCCCUCAUGGCAGGGGUCGGAGAAAGAGAGGCAGUAUCCAUGCUUCAGUGAGAGCAAGAAAGACAUAAAUCUGCUCAUAUAUCAGGCAUGUCUUUUCCCCCUAACACACAGUAUGUAUGCCUCCAUACACUUAAUAUAUCCAGGCUUGGUACACAUUCACACUGUUAUGUUCUGUGUAUUACUGUAAGCAUUAAACCUUUAUACCUAACUUAUCAUAGUAUAGGGUUGUAAGCACAAAACCAUGCAUUCUCUACUCCAGGAUCAGUUUAAGGGACUUUCCAGGGGUGACUGUGUCUAUAUAAGUUUAAAAUUUUACCUCUUGUUUGAGGAUGGAACUAAGGAAGUUGUAACACUAAUACGCAUGAGUUUAUAUAAUCCCCACAACAACCUUUUAGAAUAUUCUCUUUUGUUAUUUCACCAAGGGCAAAAGAGAGUCUCAGAAAGCUUAAGAAAU